UUUUUUCAAUGAAAGAAAGCAAAUUUAAUCUAUUGCUUUGUUUCUUGACGACAGUGCAGAAAUAAAAGGCUUGAUCUUUGCUUUCUUCUUUUAAGGAAGAAGUAAAGAUUAAGCAGCGGCCAGACAACCGUAGGGAUGGUACCCACAGGUGAAGGGCUAAUUUAAUCCCCUUUUCGUCUACUGAUUCCAUCUCACAUUU